rnacentral:rRNA from 1 species
CAGCAGCCGCGGUAAUACGAAGGGUGCAAGCGUUACUCGGAAUUACUGGGCGUAAAGCGUGCGUAGGUGGUGGUUUAAGUCCGUUGUGAAAGCCCUGGGCUCAACCUGGGAAUUGCAGUGGAUACUGGGUCACUAGAGUGUGGUAGAGGAUAGUGGAAUUUCCGGUGUAGCAGUGAAAUGCGUAGAGAUCGGAAGGAACAUCUGUGGCGAAGGCGACUAUCUGGGCCAACACUGACACUGAGGCACGAAAGCGUGGGGAGCAAACAGGAUUAAAUACCCCCGUAGUCCCUGUCUCUUAUAU